UCUUCCCUUGUGUGAAGAAGCUAAGUUCAAGAUGACUCAGCAGCUGGUGUUUGAAUCCAUUCCUAACAACUCAAAAUGCACGUUCUUCCCAAGACAACAUUGUGAUCCCCACACUCAGUUUGCAGAGAUGAAGGAAUCCAUUACCAGCGCUAUCAUUUAUCUGCUGAUGAUUCUACAUCAGUGAAAUGAGG